rnacentral:rRNA from 2 species
AUGUCUUGGCUCCCAUAACGAUGAAAGACGCAGCUAAGUGCGAUAAGCAAUGCGAAUUGCAGAACCAUGAAUCAUUAGAAUUUUGAACGCAUCCGGCACCGGUUGGCUCU